rnacentral:misc_RNA from 1 species
UUAAGUUCAGCGGGUAUCCCUACCUGAUCCGAGGUCAACCUUUGAUGAAUGGGGAUUUCUCCAAUGGCAAGCAGUGGACCCACGAUGCGAGCGAAUAGUGCCGGUAAAGCUUUUACAACGCCACAAACACGUGGGGACAAACCGCCUCUGAAUUUCGGUGGUGAGGUGAUUCAACGUUAUGCACGGAUCCCCUCAUUCAC